rnacentral:rRNA from 1 species
CUAAGAAUAUUCCGCAAUGGACGAAAGUCUGACGGAGCGACGCCGCGUGGAUGAAGAAGGCCGAAAGGUUGUAAAAUCCUUUUGCUGAUGAAGAAUAAGUGUGGUAGGGAAUGACCGCAUGAUGACAUUAGUCGGUGAAUAAGCCCCGGCUAACUACGUGCCAGCAGCCGCGGUAACACGUAGGGGGCGAGCGUUGUUCGGAAUUAUUGGGCGUAAAGGGCAUGUAGGCGGUUUUGUAAGCCUGGGGUGAAAUCCUGCAGCUUAACUGUAGAAUUGCAUUGGGUACUGCGAGACUUGAAUCACAGAGGGGAAACUAGAAUUCCAGGUGUAGGGGUGGAAUCUGUAGAUAUCUGGAAGAAUACCGGUGGCGAAGGCGGGUUUCUAGCUGAUGAUUGACGCUGAGGUGCGAAAGUGCGGGGAGCAAACA